rfam:Schistosoma mansoni strain Puerto Rico chromosome 3, complete genome
AUCUAGCCGAAGAGUCCCGAACAGGACGAAACGCGCGUCCUGGAU